UAGCUUUAAGAAAAUUAUUUAAAGUUUUACCUGCCCGGUGGAAUUCUUAACGGCCGCAGUACUUUGACUGUGCUAAGGUAGCAUAAUAAAUUGGCUUUUAAUUAAAGUCGGGUAUGAAAGGGGCUUCGGAAAGUAACUGUCUCAAAUAUAUAUAAUUUUAAUUUAAUUAAUGGGUGAAAAUUCCCAUAGAAAUUUUUAUUAGACGAGAAGACCCUAAGAGUUAUAAUUAAAAUGAAUUUAUUUCAUAUAUCAUUUUUGUUGGGGCAACAUUGACUGGAUAAAACCGUCAUUAGUAAAAAUUUUUUACAUAGCCAGUAUAUUUAAUAAGAAAUAAACUACCUUAGGGAUAACAGCAUAAUUAAUUUUUAGAUUGUGACCUCGAUGUUGGAUUAAGGACUUUAUUUACUAGCCGUAAAUUGAGAUAGUUCUGUUCGAACUGUUAUACCUU
rnacentral:rRNA from 1 species